CAUGUUUUAUUUCUGCAUGCAUGGCGGUCUAGGAUUGAGAGGUAGACGCGCCGCUCUUGUAAACAAUGCGCUUGUGCAAUUUAUGAUCAUGUUUUAUCAGGUUUUAUGGCCGUAAUGACUGUAAUCGUACGCUUUCAACAUUCACAUAAGAACAUAUAUAAAUGUGCUACUUUCAGUUGAGCAGCUAGCUUCAUACUGCUUGCUUGUACGUAAUGCAUAAAACUCAUGUCCCGAUGUGAUAAAUCACAGACGCAUUGUAUUGAACAAUAUGAAACACUGCUGUAACUAUAGUGAUACUUUCUGUGUUUCAUUGAUAUGAAAAUCGGUUGGUCUUUUACGAUGGUCGUUCAUUCUUUGGUUAUUUUUCUUGUUUGGUUGUUAUUGUAGUGCACAAAGAUGAUUUCAUUCUAAGAGUCUUUGCUCUUCUGCCAUGUGAUAUAAUCAGCUGUCAGAUGUAAUGAAGCACAUGUAACCUGAAGAAGUUGUGCAGGUGUAAAAAAAAAAAAAAAAAAGUUGUGCAGGUGUUUCUAGGAGAGUUUUUCCUGUGCAUGCUGUGAUAACAUUUUUACAAUAAUAUGAGCUAAUAUUAGUUAAUGCAAUAGUUGACAUGAACAAAUAUUGAACCAUGCUUUUACAGCACUUAUUCAUCUUGGUUAAUGUUAAUUUCAGUAUUCUGAGUCUAAUCAUGUCAGUCAUGAACUCGGAUAUCAGUUAUGAUAAUUUAAUAGGGCUAUAAUUAUUAUUUUCUUUUUUACAGUUUCACUUAUUUAGAAUUUAAAUUCAAAUCCUAUUAUUUAGUAUUCCAUUCUGAACAAUGGAAUGGAUGGAAUUUCAUUGCAUUCCGAGUUCUAAAUUCCUUUGUUAAAAUGGAUCUUAUACUUUCCCUUCCAAAAUGUUUCCUUAAAGGUGCAAUCAGUCAUUUUUUCCUAAUUAAAAAAGGUUGAAAUAUUUGCAAUAUAUGUAGAACAUCAUGAGCACUCACAUUAAAAUGAAGAUUCCAGUCAUACCAGUAACCUUAUAAAGCUGUUUUAUUCUACAUGGAGAGGGUCCACACAUGGGGGCUGUCAUGUUAGAAUCACAUGACCAGCCGAACACUACUCGCUUAAUCUCAGUAACCGUCCUGUUAUUUGACUCUUCCACUGUAAUUGAUUAAAGUAAUCUGAAUCUGGAAACUAUUGAUUUUAAAUGAUGCUGCAUACAAGCUGAUUGGUGUCAGUGGAAAUCCAACAUGACACAAAGACAAAAGUUACUGAGUGCACCUUUAAAGUUCAUUUAAAAUGAUAUCCUGAAUAUUUAAUAUUUGUAUUUAAUUGUUCCAGUACAUUGUCCUGCUCUGGAUGUGAGAGAGCGCCAGGGCCGGAGUGGCUAAUCGGGAAGAUCGGGAGAAUUCCCGCUGGGCCGGUCAAAAAUAGGGCCGGUUAGGUCCGCAUGUUGAUUGACAAACCUUCAUGUGUUGCAUAACAAUUGCCAGCAGUCAGUAACGUCCUGUAUUUAAGGGAUCAGAAUUGCGUUUCGUAUAAUAGCGGACGCAGUCUGUAUUUUAUGAUUUCACACACAAACAAAUGAGAGAGUAUCCUGUGAGAGACGAAACUGAUGUGCUUCACUUGACAGCACGGGAAGGAUCACGGAAGAUCCAUCGAGAACAGAUAGGCUACUAAUAGCUGAAUGGAUGAACGUGCUUCAGAAAAGUUAUUUGAAUUUAAGCAUUUCUUCUGAAACCUCCAUAGCUUUUAAGGUUUCCAUUUAAUGGUUCAACACCAGAAAAAGUCCUCAACGGAGAGAAGCAGGCAUGCAGGGCGUGUGUGGAUUUGGACUUUGGCCCUGGAUGGGGUGCAUGUAUUUAAUGGCAGCUGGCAGAGCAGAACUGUGAAUCGUGAUCUGGAAGACGGCUGUGUGUUGAGUGAAGAAUCACCUCAGCUCAGGUUUCAGAUAGCCUCAACAGCUGGAGACAAACAGAUGUGAACAGCUGGAUAAGAUUUGUGGCAUUCUGCUUCGAGCGAAUCUACUGCAUGGAGAGAUCAGACUGAUGAUUGAUCCACAGCUUGCCGUGGUCCAGCGCCAUGGUAGACAUGCCGAGUCUGUACAGUCCCUCGUCCCUGCUGGGUGAUCCAAUGCUGGACAGGUCUCUGUGUGGAGAGCUAAUUGGUGACAUGGAGGAGCUGGAGGACAUCUCUCAGUCUCUAGGUGAUGAUACCUUUAGCUCUCUACACAUACUGGACUACCAGAGGUGCAACACAGCAUUAGACAGCUCCACUGGCCUAGAUGUCUUAACACCAGCUUCUAGUCCAUCCUCAGGAGUAUUUGCAGCCAGCACUGGUCAGGAUGAGAACUCCUCUAGUUCACUUACCCUGGAGUGCCGCGUCUGUUCCGACCGUGCCUCAGGUUUCCACUAUGGAGUGCAUGUCUGCGAAGGCUGCAAGGGGUUCUUCAGGAGAACCAUUCAACUAAAAUUGGAUUAUGACAAGUGUGAACGCAACUGUAAGAUCCAGAAGAAGAACCGAAACAAGUGUCAGUACUGCCGUUUCCACAAGUGCCUUGCGGUGGGCAUGUCCCACAAUGCCAUUCGAUUUGGGCGAAUGCCUCUGUCUGAAAAGCAAAGGCUGAGAGCAGAGCAGGAGAUCGGGGAGAAAGAAGAGCACGAGUCCCAGCAGCCCGACACCAAGAGUCUGGCCAGGCUGAUCCAUGAAGCCUACCUCAAACAUUUACACAUGAACAAAGCCAAAGCACGUGUCUUUCUCACUGGCAAGACUUGCACUCCGCCCUUUGUCAUCCAUGACCUGGACACUCUCCAGCACGCUGAGCAUACACUGGUUACCCAACUGCUUGGUAACAUGGAAACCAUCGAUGCCUCUUCUCUACAGGAGAGAGAAGUCGAAGCCCGGCUCUUUCUUUGCUGUCAAUACGCUUCAGUGGAGACGGUCACAGAACUGACAGAGUUUGCCAAAGCUGUACCUGGCUUUGCUGCCCUAGACCUUAAUGACCAGGUGACUCUGCUGAAGUAUGGAGUGUAUGAGGCACUGUUUGCGCUGUUGGCCUCCUGCAUGAAUAAAGAUGGACUGCUGGUGGCUCGCGGUGCUGGCUUCAUCACUCGCGAGUUUUUGAAAAGCCUGCGCAAGCCCUUCAGUGACAUGAUGGAGCCAAAAUUUCAGUUUGCCAUGAGGUUCAAUGCUCUAGAGCUCAAUGACAGCGACCUGGCACUUUUUGUGGCGGCCAUUAUCUGCUGUGGAGGUGAGACACAGGAAGAGAAAUGAGAAUUUAUGUAGUUUAGAGAAUAAGAGGCAAUGUCAUAACGAAACACUUCUAACCUAAUACUAGUGAAGAGAUAGUUCACCCAAAGUAAAAAUUCUGUCAUUAUUUACUCAGCUUCAUGUUGUUUCAGACCCAUUUGACUUUCUUUAUUACAUGGAAUAAAACAGAAGUUUAAAGAAAAUGUCAGCAGUGCCAGCAGUGAUGGGUUAUGGUCCUGGAGGCCCCUCUCCCUCCACUGCUUCAACAUAUGCACCAUGCAUGGAACAGAAUUGAAUAGAAUUUAGAAAUUCCAUGAAUGCUGCAUUUUUGUGUUGCUGGUGUUCUUGUAUUAUGUGACACUUCAAAAUGUAAAAAACAAAAAAAUCUAAAUUUCCAUAAUGUUUCGUAAAAAAAAAAGUGCCUUUGACACCUUUUCUUUUUUUGCUUUCCUUCUGGAUGCACCACUAAUCCAGUGUUUGUGAUCCAUUUAUUAUAUUUAAUAUAUACUGUAUUUUACUCUGUGCAAGGGAAAGCUGAUAACUAAAAUUAAAACUUUUAGCAAAUGGCCACUACUCAUUUCUGUCAUGCACAACUUUUUAGGGGACUUUUAUUUAAAUUAAUCAUUAAAAAAAAAAAAAAUCACAAAGCUGCAGGGUCAUCAUACAAGACCAUAACACACAUAUUCUAGCAUAUUUGCACUUGGCUUCCUUACAUGCAUGUAAAUGUGCAAGUGUCGUAAAUGUAAGAAUGCAGAUAUGCUAAAAUACAUAAUUGUUUGUCAUAUAUGAUAGUAUUAUUUUAAAUGUAUUUAUUUAUUUUGUCAAUUUUAUUAGGGCUUCUGAUUCAGAGCCCAGGGAGAGAUAACAUGGCUGUCACACAUUCAAGCACUGUCUAUCUAUUUCUGUCAAUUUUGCAUUUGCAGUGCCUUGUUUCUCAGUGUCGCACCACUGCAGGCCUCUCAGCCUGAGGCCCCCUAAGGCCCCAGGUAGUCAGAGGCCCCAGGGCACUUGCCCUAUUGGCCCAGUUCAUAAUCCAUUCUUGUGUCCCAAGUGCUCUUUUCCAGGCAGUGACAGUAAAUGCUGAAAACAAAAAUGACAAACAAGCACCAUAAAGUAUAGUUCAAAUGACUCAUGCGCUAUAAUUUAAGUAUUUUCCAGAUAUACGAUUGAUUUUUGUAAGGAUCAGACUGAAAUUUUAUUUAUUAUUCAACAAAAAUCUCUGCAGUUGUUCCUAAAUCUCUUUUGAGAUGUUCAAAACUCUCAAACUGCAGGGUCCCCACAGUCAUGGAAAACCUGAAAUAUUAGGGAACUUUCAAAUAGAUUUUUCUAGGCCUGGAAAAGUCAUGGAAAUCAAUACAAUUUCAAAAGUCAUGGAAAAGGGGCCUGGGUAGCUCAGUGAGUAUUGACGCUGACUACCACCCCAUGAGUCGCGAGUUCGAAUCCAGGGUGUGCUGAGUGACUCCAGCCAGGUCUCCUAAGCAACCAAAUUGGCCUGGUUGCUAGGGAGGGUAGAGUCACAUGGGGUAACCUCCUCGUGGUUAUGAUUAGGGGUUCUCGCUCUCAAUGGGGCACGUGGUAAGUUGUGUGUGGAUCGCGGAGAGUAGCAUGAGCCUCCACAUGCUGUGAGUCUCCGCAGUGUCAUGCACAGCGAGCCACGUGAUAAGAUGUGCGGAUUGACUGUCUCAGAAGUGGAGGCAACUGAGACUUGUCCUCCGCCACCCGGAUUGAGGUGAGUUACCGUGCCACCACGAGGACCUACUAAGUAGUGGGAAUUGGCCAUUCCAAAUUGGGGAGAAAAAGGAGAUACACACAAAAAAAAAAAAAAAAAAAAAGGCAUGGAAAAUGCAUGAAUAUUUCUAUAGUGAAUAUAUAAUUUGCUAGUUUUUCUAUGCUCUAAAAUAUUUGAUUGCCUAAAUAUUGCUCUUGUAGAGAUUGUAAAAUGUACUCUAACCAUAAGGAUGUCUGAUUUGUCAGUGAAUUGUUCUUUUGAGUCAGUUCUUUUCAGUGAAUAAGUUGAAACAGUUCACAAAUGAUUCAUAAGCUAAUCAUAAUGAUUUAAAAAAAAAUCUGUAUCCAGAAAUCACAAAUGCCAGGAAAUGUCAUGGAAAAGUAAUGGAAAUGCGUCCGUCAAAAAGGACGGGAACCCUGAAACUGGCACAUUAUGAUCAGUUACGAGACACAAUAAUGACUUUUGGCAUCAUUAAUUUAAAACCUCAUGCAACGUGACUACCACACCUGGAGUCGCAAGUUCAAAUCCAGGGUGUGCUGAGUGACUCCAGUCAGGCUUCCUAAUCAACCAAUUGGCCCGGUUGCUAGGGUGGGUACAGUCACGUUGGAUUAACCUCCUCAGUCGCCAUAAUGUGGUUCUCACUCUCGGUGGGGCACGUGGAGAGAUGUGCGUGGAUGCCGCGGAGAAUAGCGUGAAGCCUCCACACGUGCUAGGUCUCCACGGUCACACGCUUAACAAACCAUGUGAUAAGAUGCACAGAUUGAUGGUCUCAGACGUGGAGGCAACUGAGAUUCAUCCUCCGCUACCCGGAUUAAGGCAAGUCACUACGCCACCACGAGGACUUCGAACACAUUGGGAAUUGGGCAUUCCAAAUUGGGGAGAAAAGGGGAGGGAAAAAAAACAUUCAACAUGGAGGAUAAGAGCACAGUUUCAAUCACACAGCUGCCACGUUACCUCUUGCCGUUUCAGUCAUAUAAUGUACAUUUACGUAUAUCAGUAACUAUUUGAUGCUUAUUGUACAUUUUUACACAGAGAAAAUAGCAUGCAUUUGAUCAAAAUUGCAUCAUCUUCAGCCAUUUGGCUAGUAUGUGUCAAAAUAAAAAAUAAAAAAGUUCCCCAAGAAAUAUACAUGAAUGAACCUGGCGUCCUCCAUGUUUCUGACAACAAAGCACUUGAAUGUGACGUGCUCGUAAUUAUGACUUCAGAAGUGGGAAGUAGGAUAAUUCAAAUACCACAUGAAGGCAGCAUUAGUCUCAGGACCUUUCAGAUGAUGGAAAAAAAACUGUGAUUUAUAUUUCGGAAAAUACAGUAUAGGUGGACACCUAUGAAAUUUGAGAUAUGCACUGGAGAGGAAGAUGUUCAGUGAAAAAUUAUCUCCAUUUUGGUCAGUUUCUAACACAAAGCUUGUGUGGCUUCAGAAGACUUAGAAUAUAGCACACGAGUUAUAUAGGCUACUUUUAUGGUGCUUACUUGUCAUUUUUGGUGCAUGAACAUUUCCUAAUCAGUGUCGUUGUUUGGAAAAGAGCACUUGGAACAUUCUGCUAAACAUUUCCUUUUGUGUUCCCCUGAAGAAAGAAAGUCAUACGAGUUUAGAACGACACGAGGGUGAGUAAAUGCUGAUAGAAUUUUCGUUUUUUAACAGAGUAACACUUCAACCAUCAGUACCGCCUUUUGAAAAUUCCCCUUGCGCAGUGCUUCGUGAACAUCCUGCGUUAUGUAAAUAUCUUUUCUAAACUGUAAGUAGGUUAGUUGUGGUUCAGAUUAUUUUUAUGUCACCUCUGAAGUCCCACUUCCAGCAGCUUUUGAAAGGUAUUACAUAAUAAUAGUCAGAGUGAGUUGGGGAUUUUUCCUCUUGAGGGCAAGCAAAAAUAACCACAGUUUCCUUCCCUGCCGGCUCCAGAUGCAGCCCUUGGAACUGUGGCUGUGCAACCUGAAACUCAGAUGGUUCCACAAACCACAGCUCCUGGAGAAUUGCACUCUGUCUCUCUUUCCUUUAACCUGUCUGCAAUGCCAUUAAUCGUCCAGGACUGAGCAAUGUGUCCCAGAUUGAGUGCAUCCAGGAGAGCAUAAUUGACGCUCUACGGCUCCACCUGUUGGCCAGCCAUCCUGAGAACACUUUACUCUUUGCCAGGCUGCUACAGAAACUGGCCGACC